AUUCUUCUUCAUCAGUAAACGCUUCCUCUUCUUAAAUAUGUGAGUUCCCAUCUGUGAAUUUCCUUUCCAAAAAUUACAGAGCUUGGAAAGGCAAACGUUUCUCAAUUCGAUUUGAAAGCCGGCUCCACCGUCGAAGUUCUAAUCUUGGGAUUAUGGGAGACUGGCAAUGUAAGGAAAGGAUGCUAGCUUCUGUGUCUCACAAGUCACAACUCUGAUGAAGAGGCCAAGAGCAGAUAACUAAAGAUAAGUGAAUAAUCGCUUGGUUAGGACAAUGAGGUUACAGAAUGGGUACAUGUGGUGGAAGAAACGGCAACGAUGUUGGAUUUAACAGUCACAGAGGUGGCAGAGUUAGACCAUACGUACGGUCUCCGGCGCCUCGACUCAGAUGGACGCCGGAACUUCACCGUUUCUUUUCUCCUUCAAUCUUUCAAGAAAAAUGCAACCUUUUGUUACUUUGUUUUAUUCAACUGUUUGCUAUUUUCUUUUUUGCACUUGCUACUUUGUUUCAUUUUUAUAUGUUUAAGUUUGAUUUUUGGAUCUAUUUUAAAAUAUAGUUGAAUUUUCUCAUUGUAUCGUCACCAUCUAUUUUUUAGCAGACUUAGCCCUUAGCCAAGUGUU